AUGCUUACCUGGUAGGAAAGAUACCACGAUCACAAAGGUAAUUCUCCCAGAGUGAGGCUCAUCCAUUGUGUUUCAGAUGUGCUGACCCCUGCGAUUUCACAAAAUGCAGGAAACUUGACUGCAUUACUUUGUAGUAGUGGGGCACUGUGUUCGUGCUCUCCCCUG
ensembl:snRNA U1 U1 spliceosomal RNA